rnacentral:lncRNA from 1 species
UCAGAGAAAUAAGCUCAAGGUCAAGCCAAACGCAUAUCCGGUCACGGGAGCUCUACGUAACGUUCAACGGACAACUGUCUAUAGGGGAGAUCAGAUGCACUACAGGCCUGAAUUACGAAAAUAUCCUAAAGGUGCGGUGUAUACCAGGUACAGGAUGCCACCAAUGUAUGUUACCUUUAAAUGUCCACCCAAAGUUGGUCUGCUGCUAUGCAGGGCAAGUUGUGAAAGACGGAGCAAAUUCACGCUAGGAUCCUGCGAUAACGGGUAUUGCACGUGCCUACUCCUCAAGCCGGGAUUCCGCGGGAAAAGUGUAUUCGUCAGGAGAGCCAAUUGUUAUUUGAAAGCAGACAGAGUAAAAUGCACCAAGUUCUGCGUUAACCAAUUCGGAAGAAGUGCUCAAGGAUUGUGUAAUGCAGACAGGUGUAGAUGUUUCACGAACCCAAAGAUCUCCCCGAAGAACCAACUUACCGCUUGUGAACAAGCGAGAAGAAGACUGGCUUUUUUGGAGGCACGUUUGCGGGCUAUCAUGCGGAAAGAUCCAUCCUCCCGGACGCUAGAGGAGAGACGGUUCCUCCAAGAAGUAUCUAAAAACCCGCGAGUCAUCCAACGUAUCAACUCGUCACGCAGACCACGUAAAACUAGAGCAGCGGCACCCAGACGAGUGCCAACUCCCAGAUUUACAAACUUUCAAUCAAUCCAAAGGAAAGCUCCAAACGCAAGGAAAUCACCCAGAAAGUCUCCAGCGAAGGCUAUCAAGUUUGUAACGGACCCUAAAGGUCCUCGAUUCCCAGUCAACCGGAACAAGGCUCAAUCAGCAUCGAAAAGGGUUGCUGUGAACCAGAGUAGUAGGGGACAAAGCCCUGGAAAGGGUAUAACUGGUGCAAGGCAAUCUACAAAGAUUGGCCGAAAUCCGCCCAUGAAUACACGCCCAAAUCCCGGUAAGGGAGGCCCUAAAGCUUCCCCGCCAAAAUUUCGACAACAAACGCCAGGAAAACGUCAGGAUGGUAACGCUUAUGGUAAUAAUCGCAAUUCUCAGCCGAACCCCCCGCGGAGAAACGGCGUCGCACAGAGUCCGAAGAAGCGUGCACCAACCCCGAUGCUGGAUCCCAAGAGAGGUGGCAGUCCGAAAAAGAAACAGACAAGCCCCAAAGGAGGAGGUCCUCAUGGUCCUACGUCAAAAGAUAUGCUGCCUCCGCCAAGAGGGCGUCCUGGAAAUGAUCACAAAGCAAGAGGUGAGGACAAGUUCCAGGAGAGUCCUCCAAGCGGGUAUGGCGGGCAAAAAGAACAAGCUCGACCUCAAAACGCUGGUAAAGGAGGAGGAGGGGGAGGAAAAGGACCUGGCAGACCCAACCCCGCGGCAGGAAAUAGACCACCUGGGGGAGGUGGAGGAGGAAAUUACCCUGGCGCAGGAAAUGGGGCCGGACAUAGAAACCCGCCCACAGAGUCCGAUGAAGAUGGUGACUCGGAAGAGAAAGGCAACAAUGGAGGCUACAACGGAGGAGGCAGAAAACCUGUCAACAAUGGCCAGAAUGGCGGUCGCAACGGAGGGGACAGAACACCUGGCAACGGUGGCUACAAUGUAGGCCCCAGUGGAGGAGGAAAAUCACCUGGCAGACCCAACCCCGCGGCAGGAAACAGACCGCCAGGGGGAGGUGGAGGAGGAAAUCACCCUGGCGCAGGAGAUGGGGCCGGAUAUAGAAACCCGCUCACAGAGUCCGAUGAAGAUAAUGACUCGGAAGAGGAAGGCAACAAUGGAGGCUACAACGGAGGAGGCAGAAAACCUGUCAACAAUGGCCAGAAUGGAGGUCGCAACGGAGGGGACAGAACACCUGGCAACGGUGGCCCCAAUGGAGGAGGAAAAUCACCUGGCAGACCCAAUCCCGCGGCAGGAAACAGACCGCCUGGGGGAGGUGGAGGAGGAAAUCACCCUGGCGCAGGAGAUGGGGCCGGAUAUAGAAACCCGCUCACAGAGUCCGAUGAAGAUAAUGACUCGGAAGAGGAAGGCAACAAUGGAGGCUACAACGGAGGAGGCAGAAAACCUGUCAACAAUGGCCAGAAUGGAGGUCGCAACGGAGGGGACAGAACACCUGGCAACGGUGGCUACAAUGUACAUGGGACAGGACAAAAUCCUAGCCGUCCGAAUUCUCAAUCAGGAAAGGUGCCUAUAGAUUCCAACACAGAACAAACGGUCCCUCCAAACAGGGUACUUGAAGAUCCUGUGACUGGGAAGCAGGAGGUCGUGCCGCCAGGCAGUCAAGUGGUCACAGAUCAGAAAACCGGGGAGCAAAUAGUUGUACCAGCGGGCUCUAAAGUGACCCAAGAUGCUAAAACUGGGGACCCGGUGGAUGUGCCUCCGGGUCACCAGAUCGACCCCUUGACGGGCCAUACGUAUCUGCCGAACCACACCGCGCCGAAACCCGUGAUCACUGACGAUGGCGCUUGCCCGGUAGCUCCAGGAAACCAUCAGGAUCCAACGGUACCGCCGCACAACAAGUACGAAAACCCUGAUCUACCGGCGCCAGCACCAGAACCGCCGCAAGCAUCGGGGCACCAAAACCAGAAUGUACCACCGCCAGUACCGGGACAUCAAAACCAGAAUGGACCACAGUUGGAUCCAUACGGAAGACCGAUUCCAGCACCGCGGGACGACUAUCCGAAUGGACCACAGUUGGACCAAUACGGAAGACCGCUUCCACCACCGCGGGACGAAUAUCCAGAUAGACCACAGUUGGACCAAUACGGAAGACCGAUUCCACCAUCGCGGGACGACUAUUCAAAUGGACCACAGUUGGACCGAUACGGAAGACCGAUACCGCCGCCAUAUGAAGACCCGAGGCAGCGAAGGAACAGGCGGUAUGAUGAGGAUGAUCAAUACGGUGAUGGAUACAGCGGGGAGGACAAUGACCCGAAUGACGAUGAAGAUGUUGAUCCUGAUACGAUCGAUCCAAGAACCUUAAGUCCAGAGGAUCGCGAAGUUUGGAAGCAGAUGAAACGGGAUAAAGACGCAAGGCUGCGGGCCGAGGCUGAGGAGUACGAACGUGCCCAAAGGUAUCAGAACAAUAAUCCAGGGCACCAGAACAGUAAUCAACGGAAUCCGAACAAUAAUCAAGAUUAUGAUUGGGACGAAGAUCCACGGUACGCGGGAAACGAGUACGGUUUAAAUAAUAAAAAUAGUAAUAAUCAAGGAGAGUAUCAGCGCAAUAACAGAGAUUACUAACGCAAUAAAAGAGUUCCGGUUGAUCAAGAUUACUACCGCGAUCAGGAUAAUCUGAAGAAAGAGUGACAAUGUGACAUCAAUGUUAAUCCCGUC